GCCUGGGUGGCUCAGUCGGUGAAGCGUCCGACUUCGGCUCAGGUCACGAUCUCGCGGUCCGUGGGUUCGAGCCCCGCGUCGGGCU
rfam:Felis catus breed Abyssinian Contig264665.1, whole genome shotgun sequence. [26-MAY-2016]